UACAGAGGUCCCAAGCGUUGUUCGGAUUCACUGGGCGUAAAGGGUGCGUAGGCGGUCGGGUAAGUCUGACGUGAAAUCUCCAAGCUCAACUUGGAAAUGGCGUCGGAUACUAUUCGGCUCGAGGAAUGGAGGGGAGACUGGAAUUCUCGGUGUAGCAGUGAAAUGCGUAGAUAUCGAGAGGAACACCAGUGGCGAAGGCGAGUCUCUGGACAUUUCCUGACGCUGAGACGCGAAAGCGUGGGGAGCAAACAGG
rnacentral:rRNA from 1 species